rnacentral:lncRNA from 1 species
UCAAACAUGACUUGUCAAAGAAUUUUCAGAAUGACCUUGAAUCUUAUGUUUCUACUUUGUUUGGUUGCAGUGAUGAACAACCAUGUUACUCUAAGCUAUGCUAGGCAACUCAAGAAUCCAUCAAAUGAAGACAAAGAAGUAGCAAUUGAAAGUGAAAGUGUAGGAGCAGUAGAUCAAAGCAACAAGAAUAAGAAGGCAAAAGAGGAGAAGGAAGUAGUAGUAUUUAGAAGUGAAGUAGUAGAAGGAAAUGAAGGUUCAAAGAUGGGAAUAGGAGUAAAAGAUGAGAAACAUCCAUUACCACUAUUUCCAUUUCCAUGGCCAAUGCAACCACCAGUUGGAGGACUCCCAUUUCCACCACCCUUUGAUGUUCCAAUGAUUCCACCACUCCCUUUCCCUCCUCUUUCUUUCCCUCCUUUUGAUAUCCCUGGCAUUGUUCCAUCCCCACCUAUGUAACCAUGCAUGGACAUACAUAACUUUGGAUGGGAUGCAUGCAGUGAAAAUAAGUUCUAUGCUUGUACCAACAAAACAAUAAAGUUGUCUGGUUUAGGUUUGUAGUACUAAGUUGUCUGGUUUAAGGUUUGUAGUUUAUUAAGUUGUAUGGUUGAACCAAAAAAUAAUAUUUGUAUGAUGAGUUAUGAUUUGCGA